GACGAACCGUGCGAACGUUGUUCGGAAUCACUGGGCUUAAAGGGCGCGUAGGCGGUCUGCCAAGUCCGGGGUGAAAGCCCCCAGCUCAACUGGGGAAGUGCCUUGGAUACUGGCGGACUCGAGCGAGGCAGGGGUAGUGGGAACUUCCGGUGGAGCGGUGAAAUGCGUUGAUAUCGGAAGGAACGCCGGUGGCGAAAGCGCACUACUGGUCCUCUUCUGACGCUGAGGCGCGAAAGCCAGGGGAGCAAACGGG
rnacentral:rRNA from 1 species